GACGAACCGUACAAACGUUAUUCGGAAUCACUGGGCUUAAAGGGUGCGUAGGCGGCGCGGAAAGUAGGGUGUGAAAUCCCUCGGCUCAACCGAGGAAUUGCGCUCUAAACUACCGUGCUCGAGGGAGAUAGAGGUGAGCGGAACUUAGGGUGGAGCGGUGAAAUGCGUUGAUAUCCUAAGGAACACCGGUGGCGAAAGCGGCUCACUGGAUCUCUUCUGACGCUGAGGCACGAAAGCUGGGGGAGCAAACAGG
rnacentral:rRNA from 1 species